CAGCCGCCGCGGGAAAACGGAGGGUGCAAGCGUCAAUCGGAAUUACUGGGCGUAAAGCGCACGCAGACGGUUUGUUAAGUCAGAUGUGAAAUCCCCGAGCUUAACUUGGGAACUGCAUUUGAAACUGGCAAGCUAGAGUCUUGUAGAGGGGGGUAGAAUUCCAGGUGUAGCGGUGAAAUGCGUAGAGAUCUGGAGGAAUACCGGUGGCGAAGGCGGCCCCCUGGCCAAAGACUGACGCUCAGGUGCGAAAGCGUGGGGAGCAAACAGGAUUAGAUACCCCUGUAGUCCCUGUCUCUUAUAA
rnacentral:rRNA from 1 species